GGAGCUAACGCGUUAAGUCGACCGCCUGGGGAGUACGGCCGCAAGGUUAAAACUCAAAUGAAUUGACGGGGGCCCGCACAAGCGGUGGAGCAUGUGGUUUAAUUCGAUGCAACGCGAAGAACCUUACCUGGUCUUGACAUCCACAGAACUUUCCAGAGAUGGAUUGGUGCCUUCGGGAACUGUGAGACAGGUGCUGCAUGGCUGUCGUCAGCUCGUGUUGUGAAAUGUUGGGUUAAGUCCCGCAACGAGCGCAACCCUUAUCCUUUGUUGCCAGCGGUCCGGCCGGGAACUCAAAGGAGACUGCCAGUGAUAAACUGGAGGAAGGUGGGGAUGACGUCAAGUCAUCAUGGCCCUUACGACCAGGGCUACACACGUGCUACAAUGGCGCAUACAAAGAGAAGCGACCUCGCGAGAGCAAGCGGACCUCAUAAAGUGCGUCGUAGUCCGGAUUGGAGUCUGCAACUCGACUCCAUGAAGUCGGAAUCGCUAGUAAUCGUGGAUCAGAAUGCCACGGUGAAUACGUUCCCGGGCCUUGUACACACCGCCCGUCACACCAUGGGAGUGGGUUGCAAAAGAAGU
rnacentral:rRNA from 1 species